GGUAAUAAAAUGGGAAAUUGCUAAACACACAUCCAUCUUCUGAGCGGUGCUAUCUUAAGUCUAGGUGGAAGCCUUCAAAACAGGAACCUGGUCAAUUGCAAACCUUCCUCCUAACCCAGGCUCCUCAUCCCCAGAGCCGGCUAUGAAGAAAGAUGGUUUGGGAACAGGGAAAGAAGAUCUGGUUAGGAGCCAUCCCGGCUGCUUGUCUCUUAAUGUCAGUAAAGACAGGGUUUCGCCAUGUUGCCCAGGCUGGUCUUGAACUCCUGACCUCAAGGGAUCCACCUGCCUCGGCCUCCCAAAAUGCUGGGAUUACAGGUGUGAACCACUGCACCCAGCUGUUUUGAAAGGGGACACAGAACAGCUGGAUGCCAAAGAGAUGUCCUAAAACAAAAUGGGAUAGCCCAUAUACUCCUAAUAGGCUGGAGGUGGACUGAAGGAAGAAUCUAACAACAUUUCUGGCUCUAAAAGACAAAAAAAAAAAAAAAAACACAAAAAAAACAAAGUUACAGAUAAAUGAAAGAACUGAAGAAUAGUGCCUGCUGGUGUGCAUGACAUCAGUUUACCCCAGGCUACUUCAGCACACACUUGGCAGGCCAGCAGGCUGUUAUCCAUCUUGGACAGGGGCACGUGAACCAAGGACAAAGUGAAUAUUGAACACAUCUCAACACGUGGACAACCCUUGGGACUCAACUUUCUC
rnacentral:lncRNA from 1 species